ACUCCUACGGGAGGCAGCAGUAGGGAAUCUUCCACAAUGGACGAAAGUACUGAUGGAGCAACGCCGCGUGAGUGAAGAAGGGUUUCGGCUCGUAAAACUCUGUUGUUAAAGAAAGAACAUAUCUGAGAGUAACUGUUCAGGUAUUGACGGUAUUUAACCAGAAAGCCACGGCUAACUACGUGCCAGCAGCCGCGGUAAUACGUAGGUGGCAAGCGUUGUCCGGAUUUAUUGGGGCGUAAAGCGAGCGCAGGCGGUUUUUAAAGUCUGAUGUGAAAGCCUUCGGCUCAACCGAAGAAGUGCAUCGGAAACUGGGAAACUUGAGUGCAGAAGAGGACAGUGGAACUCCAUGUGUAGCGGUGAAAUGCGUAGAUAUAUGGAAGAACACCAGUGGCGAAGGCGGCUGUCUGGUCUGUAACUGACGCUGAGGCUCG
rnacentral:rRNA from 1 species